UUUCCGGUUGAUCUCGCCGGAGGCCACUGCUAUUGGGGUUCGACUAAGCCAUGCGAGUCUAUGGACUUCGGUCCAUGGCGGACGGCUCUGUAACACGUGGCUAACCUACCCUCAGGUAGGGGAUAACCUCGGGAAACUGAGGGUAAUACCCCAUGGGGGAAGAGGUCUGGAAUGAUCCUUCCUUGAAAGGACAUCCGCCUGAGGAUGGGGCUGCGUCCGAUUAGGUAGUUGGUGGGGUAAUGGCCCACCAAGCCUACGACCGGUACGGGCCUUGAGAGAGGAAGCCCGGAGAUGGGGACUGAGACAUGGCCCCAGGCCCUACGGGGCGCAGCAGGCGCGAAACCUCCACAAUGCACGAAAGUGCGAUGGGGGAACCCCAAGUGCCUAUGCACGGCAUAGGCUUUUCCCAAGUGUAAACAGCUUGGGGAAUAAGGGCUGGGCAAGUCCGGCGCCAGCAGCCGCGGUAACACCGGCGGCCCGAGUGGUGGCCACUCUUAUUGGGCCUAAAGCGUCCGUAGCCGGUCCAGUAAGUCCCUGUUUAAAUCCUACGGCUCAACCGUAGGGCUGGCAGGGAUACUGCUGGACUUGGGACCGGGAGAGGACGAGGGUACUCCAGGGGGUAGCGGUGAAAUGCGUUGAUCCCUGGAGGACCACCUAUGGCGAAGGCACUC
rnacentral:rRNA from 1 species